rnacentral:rRNA from 1 species
AGAACGAACGCUGGCGGCAGGCCUAAUACAUGCAAGUCGAGCGGGCGUAGCAAUACGUCAGCGGCGGACGGGUGAGUAACACGUGGGAACAUGCCCUUCGGUACGGAACAACUCAGGGAAACUUGAGCUAAUACCGUAUGAUCCGGCAACGGCAAAGAUUUAUCGCCGGAGGAUUGGCCCGCGUCCGAUUAGCUAGUUGGUGAGGUAACGGCCCACCAAGGCACCGAUCGGUAGCUGGUUUGAGAGAACGACCAGCCACACUGGGACUGAGACACGGCCCAGACUCCUACGGGAGGCAGCAGUAGGGAAUCUUGGACAAUGGGGGAAACCCUGAUCCAGCCAUGCCGCGUGAGUGAUGAAGGCCUUCGGGUUGUAAACUCUUUCGACGGGACGAUAAUGACGGUACCCGUAGAAGAAGCUCCGGCUACUUCGUGCCAGCAGCCGC